AAUAAGAUGCCUGAUAAAAGGAUUAUUUUGAUAGAAUAAAUUAUGCUGUGUUGCUCUUAUUG
rnacentral:tRNA from 1 species